GUGAACGCUGGCGGUGCGCCUAACACAUGCAAGUCGAGUGGGUUCAGACCCACGGCGAACGGCUGAGUAACACGUUGGUACCCACCCCGAACCCAGGGAUAUCCCUCCGAAAGGAGGAGUAAUACCGGAUGCCCUCGCGAGAGGAAAGAUUUAUCGGUUUGGGAGGGGCCUGCGGCCUAUCAGAUAGUUGGUGAGGUAAUGGCUUACCAAGUCUAUGACGGGUAGCUGGUCUGAGAGUACGACCAGCCAGAAUGGAACUGAGACACGGUCCAUACUCCUACGGGAGGCAGCAGUGAGGAACCUUCCGCAAUGGGCGAAAGCCUGAUGGAGCGACACCGCGUGGAGGAUGAAGCCCUUUCAGGGCGUAAACUCCUGUUCUGAGGGACGAAAUUUUUGACGGUACCUCAGGAGAAAGCAUCGGCUAACCCUGU
rnacentral:rRNA from 1 species